GUGGGGAAUAUUGGACAAUGGGCGAAAGCCUGAUCCAGCCAUGCCGCGUGUGUGAAGAAGGUCUUCGGAUUGUAAAGCACUUUAAGUUGGGAGGAAGGGCAGUAAGUUAAUACCUUGCUGUUUUGACGUUACCGACAGAAUAAGCACCGGCUAACUUCGUGCCAGCAGCCGCGGUAAUACGAAGGGUGCAAGCGUUAAUCGGAAUUACUGGGCGUAAAGCGCGCGUAGGUGGUUUUGUAAGUUGGAGGUGAAAUCCCCGGGCUCAACCUGGGAACUGCCUCCAAAACUGCAUGACUAGAGUACGGUAGAGGGUAGUGGAAUUUCCUGUGUAGCGGUGAAAUGCGUAGAUAUAGGAAGGAACACCAGUGGCGAAGGCGACUACCUGGACUGAUACUGACACUGAGGUGCGAAAGCGUGGGGAGCAAACAGGAUUAGAAACCUGGGUAGUCC
rnacentral:rRNA from 1 species